rnacentral:rRNA from 1 species
UGGCGGUUAUUUAUCUUAUUAGAGGAACCUGUGUUUUUAUAGACAGUACACGAUAAUUUGAACUUUAGUUUAAUUUAUAUAUCAUUGUUUAAAAUUAAUUUUGAAGUUAAUUUAAAAAUCUUUACAGAAGAAAUUCAAAUCAUGGUUUAAUUUAUAGUAAAGUAAUUAUGGGUUACAUUUGUUUUUUUAUUGUAGAAGUUUAGAAAAAGGAUUUAAAAGUAAUUUCUUUAAUUUAUGGAAGUUAAUGAAGCUCUAGAUG